rnacentral:rRNA from 1 species
UACGUAGGUGGCAAGCGUUGUCCGGAAUUAUUGGGCGUAAAGCGCGCGCAGGCGGUCCUUUAAGUCUGAUGUGAAAGCACGCGGCUCAACCGCGUAAGGUCAUUGGAAACUGGAGGACUUGAGUGCAGAAGAGGAAAGCGGAAUUCCACGUGUAGCGGUGAAAUGCGUAGAGAUUUGGAGGAACACCAGUGGCGAAGGCGACUUUCUGGUCUGUAACUGACACUGAGGCGCGAAAGCGUGGGGAGCAAACAGG